rnacentral:rRNA from 1 species
AGUGAGCGCUGGCGGUAGGCCUAACACAUGCAAGUCGAACGGCAGCACAGGAGAGCUUGCUCUCUGGGUGGCGAGCGGCGGACGGGUGAGGAAUACAUCGGAAUCUACUCUGUCGUGGGGGAUAACGUAGGGAAACUUACGCUAAUACCGCAUACGACCUACGGGUGAAAGCAGGGGACCUUCGGGCCUUGCGCGAUUGAAUGAGCCGAUGUCGGAUUAGCUAGGUGGCGGGGUAAAGGCCCACCAAGGCGACGAUCCGUAGCUGGUCUGAGAGGGUGUGCAGCCGCAAUGGGACUGAGGCACGGUCCAGACUCCGCGGGGAGGCAGCGGUGGGGAAUAUUGGACAAUGGGCGCAAGCCUGAUCCAGCCAUACCGCGUGGGUGAAGAAGGCCUUCGGGUUGUAAAGCCCUUUUGUUGGGAAAGAAAUCCAGCUGGCUAAUACCCGGUUGGGAUGACGGUACCCAAAGAAUAAGCACCGGCUAACUUCGUGCCAGCCGCCGCCGUAA